rnacentral:rRNA from 1 species
AGGUUUCCGUAGGUGAACNUGCGGAAGGAUCAUUAACGAAUAUAAAUCGGAAAGCUGUCGCUGGCCCUCGCGGGCAUGUGCACGCUGACCGUGUUUCAUAAAUUUCUCNCCUGUGAACCUAAUGUAGGAUGCCCCUCCUCCGGGAGGGGGGACCUAUGUCUUCAUAUACAUCUUCGUGUAGAAAGUCUUAGAAUGUUUACUAUCAGAGAGUCGCGACUUCUAGGAGACGCGAAUCUUUGAGAUAAAAGUUAUUACAACUUUCAGCAAUGGAUCUCUUGGCUCUCGCAUCGAUGAAGAACGCAGCGAAAAGCGAUAUGUAAUGUGAAUUGCAGAUCUACAGUGAAUCAUCGAAUCUUUGAACGCACCUUGCGCUCCUCGGUGUUCCGAGGAGCAUGCCUGUUUGAGUGUCAGUAAAUUCUCAACCCCUCUUGAUUGAGGGAGUUUGGAUAGUGGGGGCUGCCGGAGACUUGGAUUCGUCUAGGACUCGGGCUCUCCUGAAAUGCAUCGGCUUGCGGUCGACUUUCGACUAUGCGCGACAAGGCUUUCGGCGUGAUAAUGAUCGCCGUUCGCUGAAGUGCAUGAAUGAAAGUUUCGCGCCUCUAAUACGUCGACUCUUAUUAUCUCUUCGGAGAGAAAAGGUCUUCUUCAUUGACUUUUGACCUCAAAUCAGGUAGGACUACCCGCUGAACUUAAGCAUAUCAAUAAGCGGAGGAAAAGAAACUAACAAGGAUUCCCCUAGUAACUGCGAGUGAACCGGGAAAAGCUCANUUUUGAAUCUGGCGGU